rnacentral:rRNA from 1 species
UGCAGUUAGAACGCUCGUAGUCGGAUUUCGGGGCGGGCCGACCGGUCUGCCGAUGGGUACGCACUGGUCGGCGCGUCCUUCCUUCCGGAGACCGUGCCUACUCUUAACUGAGCGGGGGCGGGAGACGGAUCGUUUACUUUGAAAAAAUCAGAGUGUUUCAAGCAGGCAGCUCGCUCUUGCAUGGAUUAGCAUGGGAUAAUGAAAUAGGACUUUGGUGCUAUUUUGUUGGUUUCGAACACCGAAGUAAUGAUUAACAGGGACAGUCAGGGGCACUCGUAUUCCGCCGAGAGAGGUGAAAUUCUCAGACCAGCGGAAGAUGAACUACUGCGAAAGCAUUUGCCAGGGAUGUUUUCACUGAUCAAGAACGAAAGUUAGGGGAUCGAAGAGGAUCAGAUACCCUCGCUAGUCUUAACCAUAAACCAUGCCGACUAGGGAUUGGGGGAUGUUCACAUAUCGACUCCCUCAGCACCUUACCGGAAACUAAAGUCUUUGGGGUUCCGGGGGGAA